UACAGAGGGUGCGAGCGUUAAUCGGAAUUACUGGGCGUAAAGCGUGCGUAGACGGUUAUUUAAGUCAGGUGUGAAAGCCCCGGGCUCAACCUGGGAAUUGCAUUCGAGACUGAAUAGCUAGGGUACGGUAGAGGGAAGCGGAAUUUCCGGUGUAGCGGUGAAAUGCGUAGAUAUCGGAAGGAACAUCAGUGGCGAAAGCGGCUUCCUGGACCAGUACCGACGUUCAGGCACGAAAGCGUGGGGAGCAAACAGG
rnacentral:rRNA from 1 species